UGGAGCAGCCACUGAUCUCACUCACAUUUGAAGCCAAAGAAGCGUGAGUUUCCCUUUUUGCCAUUCCUUGAUAAAAUCAAAAUAAGUAAACUGGAAAUCAUGUAUUCCAGUGGCCACUCUUCUUUUCUCCUCAUAAUUAUUGAUGAAUAAGAACUGUUAGAUACUAUAUCUCUCUUUACUCUCCUAGUGUUCUCCAAAUUCCAUCCUUCUUCUCCAACCUUAAUCACUCAA
rnacentral:misc_RNA from 1 species